rnacentral:miRNA from 1 species
CGCACACUGCGCUGCUCCGGACCCACUGUGCGUGUGACAGCGGCUGAUCUGUCCCUGGGCAGCGCGA